CCUACGGGAGGCAGCAGUGAGGAAUAUUGGUCAAUGGACGAGAGUCUGAACCAGCCAAGUAGCGUGAAGGAUGAAUGCCCUAUGGGUUGUAAACUUCUUUUAUAAAGGACUAAAACGAGGCACGUGUGCCUUUUUGCAUGUACUUUAUGACUAAGGAUCGGCUAACUCCGGGCCAGCCGCCGCGGUAAUACGGAGGCUCCGAGCGUUAUCCGGAUUUAUUGGGUUUAAAGGGAGCGUAGAUGGGUUGUUAAGUAAGUUGUGAAAGUUUGCGGCUCAACCGUAAAAUUGCAAUUGAUACUGGCAGUCUUGAGUACAGUUGAGGUAGGCGGAAUGCGUGGUGUAGCGGUGAAAUGCUUAGAUAUCACGAAGAACCCCGAUUGCGAAGGCAGCUUACUAAACUGUGACUGACAUUGAUGCUCGAAAGUGUGGGUAUCAAACAGGAUUAGAUACCCCUGUAGUC
rnacentral:rRNA from 1 species